rnacentral:rRNA from 1 species
AUUGAACGCUGGCGGCAUGCCUUACACAUGCAAGUCGAACGGCAGCACGGGAGCAAUCCUGGUGGCGAGUGGCGAACGGGUGAGUAAAGUAUCGGAACGUGCCCAGUCGUGGGGGAUAACGUAGCGAAAGUUACGCUAAUACCGCAUACGAUCUAUGGAUGAAAGCGGGGGAUCGCAAGACCUCGCGCGAUUGGAGCGGCCGAUAUCAGAUUAGGUAGUUGGUGGGGUAAAGGCUCACCAAGCCGACGAUCUGUAGCUGGUCUGAGAGGACGACCAGCCACACUGGGACUGAGACACGGCCCAGACUCCUACGGGAGGCAGCAGUGGGGAAUUUUGGACAAUGGGCGCAAGCCUGAUCCAGCCAUGCCGCGUGCAGGAUGAAGGCCUUCGGGUUGUAAACUGCUUUUGUACGGAACGAAAAGGUUUGGCCUAAUAAGCUGAGCUCAUGACGGUACCGUAAGAAUAAGCACCGGCUAACUACGUGCCAGCCGCCGCGGUAA